CCUACGGGAGGCUGCAGUGAGGAAUAUUGGUCAAUGGGCGAAAGCCUGACCCAGCAACGUCGCGUGAAGGAUGACAGCCCUCCGGGUUGUAAACUUCUUUUAUAUGGGAAUAAAAAGUACUACGCGUAGUGUUUUGUAUGUACCUUAUGAAUUAGGAUCGGCUAACUCCGUACCAGCAGCCGCGGUAAUACGUAGGAUCCGAGCGUUAUCCGGAUGUAUUGGGUGUAAAGGGAGCGUAGGUGGAUGGUUAAGUCAGUUGUGAAAGAUUGCGGCUCAACCGGGAAAUUGCAGUUGAUACUGGCAGUCUUGAGUGCAGUAGAGGUAGGCGGAAUUCGGGGUGUAGCGGUGAAAUGCGGAGAUAUGAGGAAGAACUCCGGUGGCGAAGGCAGCUUUCUGGACUGUAACUGACACUGAGGCGCGAAAGUGUGGGUAGCAAACAGGAUUAGAUACCCGUGUAGUC
rnacentral:rRNA from 1 species